rnacentral:snRNA from 1 species
AUUGCUUUUCUGCCUUUUGGCAAAGAUUAAGUGUGGGAUAUGUUUUUAUCAAUUUAAUAUCUGAUAUGUCCCUCAUAGUGUAUUAAAUUAUUUUUUUUAGGAUGAGAUGUUGGAAGAAAGACUUUCUCUGUCCAAUUGAUGCAUCGACUGAGUGUUGCACUGAGUCAACUGAU